rnacentral:rRNA from 1 species
UACGAAGGGGGCUAGCGUUGUUCGGAAUUACUGGGCGUAAGCGUACGUAGGCGGAUUGUUAAGUGAGGGGUGAAAUCCCGAGGCUCAACCUCGGAACUGCCUUUCAUACUGGCAAUCUUGAGUCCGGGAGAGGUGAGUGGAACUCCUAGUGUAGAGGUGAAAUUCGUAGAGAUCGGCAGGAACACCCAGGGGGAAACCAGUGGACUGGGCAUGUGCUGACGCUCAGGUGCGAAAGCGUGGGGAGCGAACCGG